UUAUAGGUGAUUAUGUUACUAUUGCAUCAGAAACGUCUACAGCAGCUCUGUGUGGUCAUUCAGUGGUGUGUGAACCAACACUGCAUGGAAACAACACUAACACUAACAACAACACACAGCAGAAUGCACGUGAGAUACUUCAUAAUCCAGGAUUAAUUAAUGACCAUUUAUUUAUACACAUAAUUUUGAAAUUUUUUUUUGUACUAAUCUAAAUAUAAUGUGGUGAAAUAACAGAAUCAGAAAUGAUCAGAUCUCUACAUCGGACAGUGAUCUUUUUGGGAUCGGCUUUGGGUUUGUGCGCACUUCUGAUUUUCUGUCUCACUUAUUUCAUUCUGAGAAGAAAAGGUGAUAAAAUGAAUGCUUCUAUUGAAGAUUCUCCAGGAACAAAUCAGGAAUCUGAAGCUGAAUCACUGAAUUAUGCGGCUUUGCAAUUCUCCAAGAGGAAAACCAAAGCUGAAAAAAGAAAACCCGUCUCAUCAGAUGAGUGUGUGUACACCGAUGUGAAAUACUCUGUAAAAUGUAGCAGAAAUAAUUCAUAAUCCAUGGCAGAAAAAUUAGAUUUUUAUUUACCUUGAGUAUAUUAUGUAAAUUGGGUAAAUUUUUAUACAUGAUGCUCUAACAGAAAAGUCUAGAAUAAUCAUAUAUUUUGUUUAUACUAAUCUAAUAAUAAGAUUUAUAUUUAAGUUGCAUGAAUUUUAGGUUUUUUUUUAAACUUAGAUGUAGGUCUAGUUUUCAGGAUUUAUUUCUGUGUUCAUGGUUAAAUGAACUACUCAUGUUUGUUUGUUUAUUUAUUUAUUUAUUUUUAUGGAACUGUUAUUACUUUUCACUGUUGAUGUAUUAACUUUAAGUGACAUUGAACUUGUAAAAAAUUCCAACUUGAGUGCUUUUUUUGUGUCCUUGUUUGUAUGCUUAAUUAUUGUUAACAAGAAAUGUAAAAAGGAAUCCUGUUAAAAACAUGAUCUUUAUUUUUGUGACUUUUAACAAUAACAUUGUUAAAGAGUGUUACAAAACCUUUUCAAAAAGGUUUUGAGUCAACAUUAGUUUGUUUUAUUCUCUCAUCUCCAAAGACACUGAAGCUCGAGUGAAGCCUGUGACUGUAGUGAGGAUGAUUAAAUCCAAUAAUAUGUACAUUUUGAUAUAAAAAUACAACAAUGGUAACUGAUGUAUUCUAUCUUAAUACUGAGCUUGUAAAGAACUGGCUUCUAAACUCUUUUAAGUGUGUCAUUAUUAUUAUUUUUUUUUAUAUUGUUGGAUUCAAUUGUUUUCCGUAAUUGAACCAAAGUGAAACAUCAAACAGCAAAUAUCAACAUUUUCAGAAGUUAAUCAUUUACUGUGCAGUUCAUAAUUUUUAUCAUUCAUUCAUUGAGUAUGGAUUUUUUGUGCUUUCUCAUUAAACAGUAAGUAAACACUAAAACAUACACGGUUUUGACCAUCAGAUUACUAUAAACAAAGAUUACCAAUGUGAACUAUAUAACACAUUUUAUGUACUGUAACAGAAUAAAUAUGCUUAA